GAAGCUCUUCACAGCCUAAAGCACAGCCAAAGCAAGACAACCAGCACAGGCAGGAGGACCCGGAUCGCUGUAGAUGGUGUAAUGAGACAGGGCAUUGGAAGCAUGACUGCCCUAAGUUCAUGAAACAUUGCCUAGUGAAAGGGAUUCAGUGGAGGGAGAACCCUUCAAAGAGGAGAAAGACAGAUUAAGGUGGCCACUGGUGUUGAAGCUGAAGUUCAAGCUAUAGGAAAUUUAUCUCUAGAUUUAGCUAGUGGCUUCACCCUUGAGUUGCAUGAUGUUCUUUAUGUUCCCUCUUUAGCUAGAAAUUUAAUUUCAGUUUCAUGUUUGUCAGACUAUGGUUUUGAUUGCCAUUUCAGCAAGAAUGAUUGUAAGCUACAGUUAAAUAAUAAAUGUGUGGGUCUUGCCUUCCGACAAGACAAACUUUAUUUAUUA